CUUUCUUGCUUCUUCUUCUUCUUCUUCUUCUUCUUCUUCUUCUUCUUCCUCUUCUUCUUCUUCCUUCUCUACUGAUCUCCCUUUUCCUCAUCCACUUCACUGAUCUCCUUCAUUCUACUUCCAACUUCCCAAUUGCGCUCAACGAACCAGGGUUUCUAUUGUUCUUUCCUGCUCUGCUGCAAUUCGCGUCACUUCCGUUCUUCUUCCAGGCUGCUAUAAAAAAAACCUACCCUUUAUGCUUCGUGCACGUACUGUUCCUCCCCUACCCCCUCCCCACUCAAAUGGUGUGGCCUCUGAGACUUGAUUUGUUCUGAAUGACGUGGAAGUAUAAAUUCUGGGGGGGUUUUGUAUUGGUACAGUACCGCAAUUCAGCUUCAAUUUGAGUGACUGGGGUUUGGAGCUGCUACAGUUUACAGUGUAUGAACCGCCCUCUGGAGAAAUGCAACCUCAGCACAGCUCCAGAAUUGAUAUAGGCGACUUGAAAGCUCAGAUAGUUAAGAAACUUGGAAAUGACAAGUCAAAGCGGUACUUCUUCUACUUGAGCAGAUUUUUGGGUCAGAAACUGAGCAAGUUUGAGUUUGAUAAGAUGUGCGUCCGUGUGCUUGGAAGGGAGAAUAUUCAGCUCCACAAUAAAUUGAUAAGGUCAAUUUUGAAGAAUGCAUGUGUAGCCAAGACCCCACCACCAAUAAAUGGGUCAGGACAUGCACAGUCUAUGCUACAAGCUUCAAACAACUCACCUUGCAGGGAAGAUGGCCCUGAACAUAAUGGAUCUACUUUUCCGAAUCAGAAUCAGGCUAUGCCAAUUUGGCCAAAUGGAGUUCUUCCGGUAUCCCCACGGAAAGGGAGAUCUGUCUUACGUGGAAAGUUUAGGGAUAGGCCGAGUCCGCUUGGUCCGAAUGGAAAAAUCACAUGUCUUUCGUAUCAAUCAUCUGGUACUGAAGAUAGCAGCAGCAAAGUUAUUACAGAGAAUGGUAAUGUAAACAUGUGUGACUAUCAGAGACCGGUACAGCAUCUUGAAGCAGUAGCUGAGCUACCUGAGAAUGACAUAGACGGAGCAGUUCUGCGGCCAUCAGAAAAACCAAGAAUACAUCCAACAGAAGCAGCUGUUCUUGAAGAUAGAGACGAGGUGGAACAGUCAGAUCCCUUAAGCAUCCUCAGAGGUCCUCUACUUCCACCUCUUGGUAUUCCCUUUUGCUCAGCUAGUGUAGGUGGGGCACGCAAGGCUUUGCCAGUUGGUAGCAGUGGCAGUAGUCGUGAUUUUCUGAGUUGUUACGACAGUAUUGGAUUGUCUGAUUCAGAGACGGUGAGAAAACGAAUGGAGCAAAUUGCAACUGCUCAAGGGCUUGAAGGUGUUUCUAUAGAAUGUCCCAACAUCUUGAAUAACACCCUGGAUGUGUACCUGAAGCAAUUGAUCAAGUCUUGCCUUGAGUUGGUGAGAUCAAGGUCUACAAUUGAACAUACAGGGCACCCUAUCCAGAAGCAACAGAAUCAAGGGAAGGUUAUAAAUGGUAUGCGGCCCAGUAACCACCAACACGUACAGAAUAGCAACGGGCGGUCUGAAGUUUUGCAGGAAAAGAGUUUAGAAUGCUCAGCGUCAUUGCUCGAUUUCAAAGUUGCUAUGGAGAUCAAUCCAAAGCAGCUUGGGGAAGAUUGGCCUUUGAUGUUGGAGAAAAUUUCUAUGCGUGCCUUUGAGGAAUAAUCAAUUGCAAAGGCUUUAUUUAUCCUCAGCCAUCCUUUUGGCUGGUCUUGUUCAAGUCCAAAGGACUUUAAAUUUUACCUGGGAUGUCUUCCUGUUCAGCCCUUCUUGCUGGGGUAUACUUGAUCACACUCCCAUUGGGUUCAGGCUCCAAGAUUCCAUGCUAAAAUAUUGUAACAACCGGGGGAACCUCCGACUGCACAUGAGUUCCUUGCCCAUUGCCUGCUCCAUUUAGGAAGUUGAAUUAACUCGACUAGAAAAGGGGAAGCUUUCAGCCAGAAUGCCCAUAAAAAAGGUUGUUCUGUUGCAUUUUUAGCAUUCAUGUUAGCCCCAUUUGCCACUACCUUGUAACUUAGCCUUUUCAUGUAACUUAUUUUUGAGAGAAUCAGAAAAGUUUUGCAGGGAUACUGUCAAUUAGUUUGGUGAAAGAUGGAACACCUGGGUGAGAGCUUCAGAUAAAUGUGAAUGUAUAUGUGGGAGAAGUUCAAGUCUCAGGAGCAGCACAGCCUGAUUUCGAGGUCUCUGCAACUGGAUAUCCAGCUUACUACCGAACAAAUCAACGUUCUACAAAUGCCACGACGAAUUGGAUGAGGACAAUUCUCAUUAAAAGGUAACGUCAUGAUUGAACUUUGAAGUAGACAAAAGUACAGGACCAUUUUAACUCGAAAAGUAUCUGUUCUUCUGAGAAAUAGAAAUUAGCUCCACCUGAUUUUGUGGUUGUCUGUUGUUUUAUCGCAAGUGCUUUGGCUGAUCAUAAUUGAUUUGUGUUCUUCUGAGAGGUUGCCUCACAAUUUUCUUCUGACAUUGCUUGUGCUUGCUUGUCAGUAAUGUAUAUUCGUCAAUUUUUAGCUGAACGUGCGUUCAUAUUAUUUUGAAGUAACUAUUGCUGAGUACUAUAAACUUCUUGAGUCUGUCUCAUUGGAAAAAAGAACUUCAGAGUUUGUAAUGCACAAGGGAAGGAAUCAAUGAAGCAAUCAAGACGAAGUGGCGAAGUUCAUAUCUCAUGGACACGGCUUAGAGAACUGCAGUCUUUGUUCCUUGCUGUACAUACCUACAGUGGCAUGCUUAUUUUAAAGGUAAAAUCAGAAUUCUUUGAAAAUUUGGAUAUUGUCCAGCUAUGUUAUCCUAGUUUUUGUUUUAUCUUGUUUCUUGAUUCCCAUUUAUAUGUUGUGUUCGCUUUUGGUGUUCAGGAUGAUCAUGUUGCUCUGUGCAGCAAAUUCUGGUUUCAUUUCACUCACUCAGCUAUGUCUAUGCUUUCUGCAUCAUGUAAGUCAAUUUUGAUGUUAAUUUGUCUUGCUUUGUUUGUGGGAUGAAGGAAGCAUUUUGAUAGCUCAAAGGAAGGAAAAGAAAUUACUGUAAGCAAAUCCUAAUGUUUUGAUUGACUCGUAUCCACUCUGUAGACAUAGAUUUUGAUGCUUUGACGAGAUAUUCAAAUGAUGUAGAAGUCACUCUUUUUAAGAUUGUCUCAAAUGAUCGUUUGAAAGGGACAAAAGAAACAUUUGAUCUCUAGCAAACCUCUCAAUAAGAUUAUUUGAAGUUCUGACCAUCUAUCAGAGAAAAAAGAAUGAAUGGGUCUAGUAAGAUUUUCGAGAAAUUUUUUGAUUUCUUUCGGAAGCGGAUGUGAUUAUUGAACUACCUUCUCACAUUUUGUAAGUAGCUGGAACAUUGAGGUGUUCGGAUUUAUACUUUAACUAGUCAAGCUAUAUUGAAGCCCCGUAUUCUUGUUUGUCGUUUUAUUCAUUUUUCAAAUUGUGGCUAAGCCAAUUAGGGAGACUAAAAUGGAUUGGAUUGAAUUGACAGGAGCCUUGGUAAUGAACUUGUUCGGAUGGCUUCACUCUUGUCUAUAAAGACCUUACAUGCAGUCUCUUAUACUCCGAAAGGGAAGCGUUGAACUCAACGCAGUCUUAAGCUAAUGUCUGAUCGUUGAUUCCCAUAUGCGUUCUUCUUUGCUAUGAUAUAUAACCCCUGAAGUUUGUCCCUUUUUAUUGUAU